AUAUAUAUAUAUAGAUAGCGCGACACCAACAUUUCAACGAUUAUCAGUGUGAUAAACCAAGUAGUCGUUAAACCAAGCACAAAACUCCUGCCCAUACAAAAGUUUGUACAACUCAGCUACCACAUGAGUACUCAAUUUAAAUCCCAUUUAAUCUCAUCAAAUCUUAUCUUGUUCCUUGCUCAAUACAAAUUUUAUUUAAUUUAUAUUUCAUCAUUCAUAACUCUUUCCGAGUUUUAUUCUUUGUACUAUCUCAUAGUACCAUUUUUAUAUAGCCAUUCUAUUGUAAAUUUCAAUCAUUCGAUUGAUUACCUGUCCUUCUUUGACUUGAUCAGAUCACGUCGUGAUCUUAUCUUAUAAUCGUGUUAUAUUACGAUUUUUUUUCAUUCUAAGAUCGUUUCAUUUUUACGAUCUUCUUAUCUUCUUCCCAAUCGUAUUGGUUUAUAUGAUUAUUAGAAUCAGGUGUCCCCUGAUCCUUUACUUCUUGUCUUCUAAGAUUCUUCUUUGAAUCUUUGCGUAUUAUCUUAACGCAUUCUUUAUGAAUUAUCUAAAUUCAUUUCAAGAUCAUUUAAACCUCAUUUGAGUUUAUGCUUAAUAUAUUCUUUCUUUUCAUCUACCUUCUUUACGGUUAUAGCCUAAGGUACGCCUACCUAAAGUUUAUAACCCAUAGCUUUGAUACCAACUGUAACGCCCCCAAAAUCGGGACCAUUUCCCUUCCCGAUCUUGUGCGUUAAUACUACAUUGUUAUAGCUUUAAAACAUUAUUUAAUGUUAAAAUAGCUAAAAAUGCAGAAUAAAUUUUAAUUUUCUUCUUUAUUCCCAUUCAUUCAUUCCCUGAAUCGCAACCUUUACAAUUCUUCUUUAUACUAAAAUUAUAUUUAUUCUCAUUUCAGAAUAAACAUUCUUUAUCUAUUUAACAUUUCAAACUAUACAUUACUGCCAAUUAUAUUUAGCAACUAUCAAUCAUAGCUUUAUACCAUUUCUAAUUCAAAGAAAUGUAUUCAUUUCGUCCAUCAUUCAUCCUUCAUCAUCCGCAAAACAAAAAUAAUAUUGCAUAACGUCAUUAACCUGCAAAAAGUUUGUGUUUGCAAGAUUGAGCUCGACAGCCCAACAAAUUUAACAGUCUAUCAUGUUUCACAUAGCACACAAUUCCAUAUGCACUACAUUACCCUUAAUAUGCAUAUCCGCAUGCAACAUAUAUUCUUUACUAUGCAUAUCCUACAUGCAUCAAUAAUUCCUUACAAAGCAUACAUUCAUGCAUUAUACAUUUUUAAUUUAUCGAGUUACAUCAUACAACAUGUGUUAUCACAAAUCACAUAUAAAUUGAGUUCCAUAACCCAAUUAACUGAGUCAUAUUUUGACUUUAACAAUUCAUAGAGCAUGAUAUGUAAUUUAGCACAUAACCACAUUCCAUCCACAAACAUAACAGAACUGAAAAACUUGCCUCUAGCACUGUCUAAUAUUAUUGUUUAUCUGCUCUGCGAUGUUCCUACACAAAUUAAAUGUACAUUCAUGCCAUAUCAGUCAAUCAUAUAUUUAAUAUCAACUUAAUUAAUAUUACUAUAUCUUUUUCUUUAAAACUUUCAUUUAGUUUCUUUGAAAGUCUUUAGCUAAUUUCACAAUGUAACUUCUUCUCAUUUCUUGACUUAUACAUUUAACAUGUAUAUAUAUAACUGUAAGUCCAAAUCAGAUUUUUAGUUCAAAACCUCAUACUUUACUAACUCUUACUAUCCUUUAAAUAGAUUCAUUUCAUUUAUAGUUUCUUAAUCGAUUCUCCCCAUAAACUAGUCAUUGCUUUCAUGACUAGUAUUGACCAUCCUUACACAUAUAUUAUCUUUUAACGUUCAAGAUAUAUCAUCAUACGUCACAGCAAAACAGUCUUUAAAGUUUCGUUUUAAAACAAGUUAUAAAACUCAUUUUUAACUAUACGUUAUUUUUCAUAAUAAUGUCAGAACAAAGUUAAGCAUGCAAACUAUGCAAUUUCUCAUAAUGUACAGGAAUUCAGCCUGCACUCGUUUGAAAAAUUUGACUGAAAAUUUUCCACUCCGCCGUCUUUUUUCCUCUCCGUCCUUAAAACAUAAACUGAAUACUACGUUGCCGGAAUUUGAUUCUAAUUGGAAAGAAUUUAAGGUCUAGUUUAAAAGCUUUAUCUCUAAGUGCUUGCAAGUUACAAGAGUAUCUUUGGAGUUCUCCGACAUUAACUUUACACUUAACUGCAAUAACUUUUAUGGGAGAGAGAUUUUAGUUUUGACAAUUUUCCCCAUUUGAAGAAUAUCUAUUUAUGUGUGUUGAAAAUGUAAUAUAAUAUAGAGGUUUUCAAUUUUACUUAAUCUAAUCUCACACACCUCACCAUAUCUCAGUAUUAUUGGGGAAAAUCCUUUCACUUUUAAGUUUUUAGUCUUAGCACCCAGACUCUCAUAUUUUGACCACAAAGGAUAUUUCUCUAAUAUUGUUGUCUGCUAAGGAUGGUUUCUCAUGUUUAGGGAAAGUUGAUAUUGAUAUCCCACAUAUCAAUAAAAAGUUUUACAGAUAUGUGACGCACGAUCUGUAAACAUAUACACAAGGGUAUAAUAUGUGGGUAAAUUGUGAGUAUAAUAGAAAGUGGAUUUUGGGCUCCAAUAGUUUUAAACAAAAGCUAAACUAGCUAGCUGUAACAGUCACGACAACGCAGCGAGUUUGCUGCCCAGCUGAACCAUAACUAACAUGCCCACUUUGCACAUUAUUUUCCCUCAAUUUAUGAAUCCAAUUAUAACAAAAUUGUGAUAUGUUAUAAUUAGUAUAUCAACCCAUUAAAAAAAUACUAACCAAAACAACCACUUGAAACAAGCUUAACAAGUGUCCAAAGUUACCUGGUUGCCACUGAUUUACCAACACAGUCAUUCCAUUCAUAAGACAUUAAGCAGCCCCAAACUUAAAAUUAGUUUGUUCAACUUUCUUCAGUUCUUAUAAAAAAAAAGAUAUAAAAAUUUAUAAUUCAUAAAUUGGACCAAAAUUCUUUUAUUUAUGCUAAGAGCUUAUAAGAAACCUUUUAUCAAACAUAACAUAGGCAUUUAUUUUGGGGGCAAAGAUCAUACAUGUUCGCACGUGUAAAUCCAAACUUUCUUCUUCCAAUACUCCUCACAAUAACAACUAAAUUCCCUCUUUUCUAAUUCAUAGUUAUCACAAUUCAAAUCCCAGUUCAAUUUUUCAUUUAACAUUAUUUUAGCCCCAUAUUUGCAUAUACAUAUUCCAUUACUGAAAUUGUAGAAUAAUCUCAUAACUUACCUCCUUAUUUGCUUUUUAAUUCAAAUUCCUAGAAAUCCUCCUUUGAAGACCAAUUGAUUGUAGUACUUCUGUCCUUUCAAUUUGAUUUACUCGCCUAAUUUGAUGAUUACAUCGGAGCCUAAGAAGAUUUCGACACAAGCUUUGAAGUGCAGUUCCGAAACCAAAAAGAAAGAAGAAGGAAUCUAUCUUAGCUUGGUAAUAAAUUUUUUUUUAAAAUGAACAAGAGAUGGAAUGCAGCAGAGCAUAGAGGACUUACUUAGCUGAGUCAAUCUAAUUACUUACUUAAACUAUGCCACCUCCUAAUCCCAAAAUGAUACGCCCAGGUUUUUUUUUUUUUACUGAGUAUGUUUUGUGGUUUUUCUUUUUCUCAUUUAAUAGACAAAAGCUUAGUGUCUUGUAUCAUGUUUAAUAAAGUGACACCUCCUGCUUCCUUAUAUCAUGAAUCAGCAUUCAUGAAUUAAAAGCUUCUCGUUCCAGCAUACAUGUGUUAUACCCAUAUUUUACUCUACAUCCUUAUUCCCACAUAUAUGUACAUAUAUAGUACAUAUUACACUUCCAAU
rnacentral:lncRNA from 1 species